AUUUAUUUAAGUUUAACCUCCUUCCCCCAUGUUUCGUUCUUCCUCGCGCCCGACACCUUCCACCCACGAAACCCUUGCCGCAUCGUUCUCCCCAUCCGCCACCUUCAGCCCAUCGACCAGUCGGCUAGUCGUCAUCUUCCACCACAGCUGCACGCUAGCACUCAGCAUGUGUCGGUCCUCGCAUUCUUCGGUAGGUGACUGUCGUUGGGCUACAUGCACACCAGAUCCGACCAAUUCAACGCCGCCCGAAGCCGUCCGCAUCCGUCGUUUGCGAGUCCGUUCGAUGCUGCCACACUCGUCGCGUCGUCUGCCAAGGACUAAGGUCGAACAACCCAGUCUGCCGCCGCUGGCUGCCUCUAGUCACCGCGCUCUCCAGCCGUCUCCGUCGGUCUGUCCAAUUGCGUGCUUGAGAUGUUGUCGACACCUUCCAGACACCGUCGGUCGCCGCCACGAUUCAGUUCGGUCGUCCGAUGUCACCUACUACCAUUUAGUUGCUGUUUGGGGCGGAACUUUAUUUGGGUGAGCUCUAGAUUCAGGGCUUGGAAGUUUUAAGGUGACCCAUCAAAUUCAAGGCCAAUUUUGACAAAGAUGGUUAGAUUGUGGUAAAUUUUCCUUGGGCGAAUUCAAGUUUAUUCAAAAGCUUUAAGGGGACUAUUUUUGUAGACUGUUGUUCGUGACCAAAUUUGAGGUGAACGAUUGCUGAGGCACUAUACGAAAGACGCAACUACUUUAUUCCGUUACCGCAAUCAAAGAGUGCAGUUCGCCGCAAAGCAGGAUGCGUCCACAAAUAAUACAGGCGACAGAGAAAAUUUGGGGGUUGUAUCUCUCCUUGACUUUGUCUAUUCCAAAUUUUGCACUAUCGCAUAGCAUUUUAACUUUAAAAAUUUUAUCAUCACAUCCUCUUUAAUCGGCGC